rnacentral:rRNA from 1 species
GGAAACUGCCUUGAUGGAGGGGGAUAACUACUGGAAACGGUGGCUAAUACCGCAUAACGUCGCAAGACCAAAGAGGGGGACCUUCGGGCCUCUUGCCAUCAGAUGUGCCCAGAUGGGAUUAGCUUGUUGGUGAGGUAACGGCUCACCAAGGCGACGAUCCCUAGCUGGUCUGAGAGGAUGACCAGCCACACUGGGAACUGAGACACGGUCCAGACUCCUACGGGAGGCAGCAGUGGGGAUAUUGCACAAUGGGGCGCAAGCCUGAUGCAGCCAUGCCGCGUGUAUGAAGAAGGCCUUCGGGUUGUAAAGUACUUUCAGCGGGGAGGAAGGUGUUUGUGGUUAAUAACCGCAGCAAUUGACUUACCCGAGAAGAAGCACCGGCUAACUCCGUGCCAGCAGCCGCGGUAAUACGGAGGGGUGCAGCUUAAUCGGAAUUACGGGCGUAAAGCGCACGCAGGGGUCUGUCAAGUCGGAUUGAAAUCCCCGCCCCCGCCUGG